GUGGCCGGCAUUCAGUAAGUGCUGUGUAAGUGUUAACGGCUUGUGUUCGUGUUCUUGUUGGCGUAGCCCUCCUUCGGGGCUGUCCCCAUGUGUGGUUAUGAAGCCUGGGGUUUGCUGCCGCCGACAGUCAACCAGCUCGUAGUUGUGGGUGGUCUUCUGUGCGACGGGACCGUCGUGUGAGCUGGGGGCUGUGGGAGAGCAGUGGCCAGAGAAGCAGAUCUCUUCUCUGCUCUUUGUAGGCGUUUUAAAAUAGGGCGAGAAAGUGGUAUUAUCGGAAAAGAUGGCCUACAAUUAUAGUACCAAGUUUUAAAGGAGAGAAUGCCAGAAGUCUAGGAGAGGGUGGGAUUGGGUGUCCAGCUCACUGUUCUCCAGUCCAGUCUGUGGGCAGGUCCUGGCCCUUGGCGGAGCGUCUGCUCACUCAGGCCGAAAGAAAAUAGCACUUAAGCUUCCUGUGUGUGCCGCUCACUGUCUGAAAUGCUUUAUGUAUUAGCUCCUUAUCGUGGUCCUGGGAGGUGGCUUAUUAUGGCAGGAUAGUGAGAAUCAGACCUCUUACAGACCAGCGCCUCUGGUUCCUUUUCUCGAUACAAUUCUAGAAGUCGAAAAGUAUGUCUUGAGAAGGCAUAGAAACCUGCAGUGUAUCAUUAUUCUAACUUCACGUGUGGAAAACCCCAAGGCCGAGGGAGGUAACCUACCCCCAGUCCCACCCCCAGGAAGUCGGGGCCAGGAUCUCAUGGGUACAGACUGCCUCCGCACCCCGCCCUCCUGCCCCAGACAGCUUGCCCACAGUGCUGCAUUUGUUCAGCAGACACCACUGUGAAAAAGUAACUCUAAUAUCCUUUUAGAAAAAUCCUUUUAUCUUGGAGAGAAUAAAAAAUCGGCAGCCUCCUCCCCCGCCUUUAUUUGUCCAUAAAAUCCAAGUUAUCCAUUUUUACUUUCCAGGGUAAGAAAGAAGACACUGAAAGAUAUAGUGGUUUACCUAUACAUUUUCCAUCCAGGCACUUGGAUGAUUUUUCCACUGGUUUUAUUGGAUAUUGGAAAAUGGACAAGGCUGUGAUGAGGGGAAGGGGCGAAGGAAAGGCUUUUUUCCCUGCCGUUGCUGUUGACCCGCGCGGCCUCUCUCCUCCCACCUGAGGCUAUGACUUGUUAACCAAACUGUCUUAAUUCAGUGGUUCCCAACAAUAUGACUGGACGGGUUUUAGGAUCUAGAAGACCUCUUCGUCUGUGGAUGUCAUUUCUAAUUCUUCAUUGUGUACUGUGUUUCAGAGUUUUGUCUGUAUUUUAAAUUGAAAUCUAGACUCUGUCCCACAUUCGUAAUUUCAGAACUGAAGA